UACAGAGGGCGCGAGCGUUGUCCGGAAUCACUGGGCGUAAAGGGCGCGUAGGUGGCCACCAUAAGGCCGCGGUGAAAGUUCGGGGCUCAACCCCGGAUCGGCCGCGGCGACUGUGGGGCUCGGGUACUGUAGAGGCAGAUGGAAUUCCGGGUGUAGCGGUGGAAUGCGCAGAUAUCAGGAGGAACACCAACGGCGAAGGCAGCUCGCUGGGACGGUACUGACGCUGAGGCGCGAAAGCGUGGGGAGCGAACAGG
rnacentral:rRNA from 1 species